CCUUACCUGGUCUUGACAUCGUCGGAAUCAUUUGGAAACAUAUGAGUGCCUCGCAAGAGGAGCCGAUGACAGGUGCUGCAUGGCUGUCGUCAGCUCGUGUCGUGAGAUGUUGGGUUAAAGUCCCGCAACGAGCGCAACCCUUGUCAUUAGUUGCCAUCAUUUAGUUGGGCACUCUAAUGAGACUGCCGGUGACAAACCGGAGGAAGGUGGGGAUGACGUCAAGUCCUCAUGGCCCUUAUGACCAGGGCUACACACGUACUACAAUGGCCGGUACAAAGGGCAGCGACACAGCGAUGUGAAGCGAAUCCCGAAAAGCCGGUCUCAGUCCGGAUUGGAGUCUGCAACUCGACUCCAUGAAGUUGGAAUCGCUAGUAAUCGCGGAUCAGCACGCCGCGGUCGAAUACGUUCCCGGGCCUU
rnacentral:rRNA from 1 species